rnacentral:rRNA from 1 species
UACGUAGGGUACGAGCGUUGUCCGGAAUUAUUGGGCGUAAAGAGCUCGUAGGCGGUCUGUCGCGUCGAUCGUGAAAACUUGGGGCUUAACCCUGAGCUUGCGGUCGAUACGGGCAUGACUGGAGUUCGGCAGGGGAGACUGGAAUUCCUGGUGUAGCGGUGAAAUGCGCAGAUAUCAGGAGGAACACCGGUGGCGAAGGCGGGUCUCUGGGCCGAUACUGACGCUGAGGAGCGAAAGCGUGGGGAGCGAACAGG